UGACCACAUCCACUUACGGACGUUAAGGCCAUACGGACAGCCGGGUCAAAUGCCGA
rnacentral:sRNA from 12 species